GAUCAUGGCUCAGGACGAACGCUGGCGGCGUGCCUAACACAUGCAAGUCGAACGGAAGUUAGAGCUUCGGUUUUAACUUUAGUGGCGAACGGGUGAGUAACGCGUGAGGAACCUGCCUUUCAGUGGGGGACAACAGUUGGAAACGACUGCUAAUACCGCAUGAUACUUUUGGGAGACAUCUCCUGAAAGUCAAAGCUUUAUGUGCUGAAAGAUGGCCUCGCGUCUGAUUAGCUAGUUGGUGAGG
rnacentral:rRNA from 1 species